UUAAGUGUAUUCUGAUUGAGGCCUGUAGGUGGCGCAUUGCACUAGAGUGAUGAGGAAUGACGUUAGGGUCAAAAGGGCAAAGUCAUUAAAAGAAAGCGCCAAAACGCUGCAGACACUAAUGUGUGUUUUCUCAUUUUAUACAGGUUAGCAGUCUGCAAUCUGUCCUCGGAGAACAACCCAGUAUCAGCACCAGCAAAACAUUCAAACAAGCUCUUCAACUCUUGAGUCUAAACACCGCAGAUGAUGCCACAGUUGUGCACACAAACCCUGUAGUGAAAAGUGUGGUGAAUAAGAAACCUUCAAAAGAGGAACAUCCCUGGUCCUCCUGUGUUGGACAUAAUUAUUUAAAUUAGUCAAAGCUCUGUGCGUCAGUUAAAACCUCUGAAAGUAACCCAGCAGCGGUGGUUUUAGAAAAGCAGCGGAUACUUCCUUUCAGCUCAUCACAAGGAGUAAAUGAGAUGAGGACAUGGAAAAACACACGCAGAAAGAUGCUGGAGCAGAAACCACAGAGGAGCAAAGAACAAGAGCAAAGGGAGAAACAGAGGACAGAAAUGAAACCCAAACCAGUGGAGAGAAAAACCGACAGAAGCUUGUUAGAUGUGACAGUAUGGAGGGAAGAAGACCAAACUUGUCAGAUGAUCCAGAGGAGCCUGUAAAGAUUGAUUCUGAUGUUCUCAAGAGCAGAACAAUCUGAAACAGAUUAGUGAACGGUUCUCUCUUGUUGACUGAUAACUGUGUUUUACUGCUCUGAUGCUGAUUCACUUCUGGAUCACACAGAGUUUUGUGUUUUAAAACAAAAUAGUUUGUUUCGUAUUGCACUGCCUUCCAUGUAUAAUGUAUAUAUUUGUAUUACUGUAUAUUUUGGUAUAUUUCUGUAUAAAACACUGUACAUCACAUAUGCUGAAAUACUGGAUCACAGAUAUUAUGACAUCUCCAGAUAAAUAAAGAAAGAAAAGUGCAGUAAAAUACACUAUUUCAGAAAUGUUUCAGUAAUGAUUCCGCUCUCUUCUGCGUUCUUUUCUUCUUUAAUGUUAACUGAAGGCAAAUCUAAAUUAGGCACUAUUUUAACUUUAAUGAACAAUUACAGUGACAAUGACAUCCUCACAUUAUAUUAUCUGAAAUAUUGCCCAUCCCUGAUUAUAUGGUUAUAUGGU